GGGGCUGCAUUGGUUUCGACGUGGGUUGGAAUCGCAGUGGUGCAUGUCGAGCUCGUUGGACGCUCGUAAAACUCCUGACAAAAAACUAACUGCAAACGACGAACGUUUCGCACUCGCCGCUUAAAUCCGGUGAGCCUCGCAACAGCAGGCCGAUGGGCUGGGCAAGGGCAGCGCAAGCUGUCCAGGCUGCGAGGGAAUUCACAUCGGCUGGCUUGAUGUCGUGCACCUUGACAUUGAGCGAGACACAAGGGUGCUGGCUGCGAUCAAAGCGUGUGUCUGCGCGUUGACCGUGGUGAGACUCAAACCAGAACACUAAACAUGUAGAUCUGCGCGAGGAAGGUUUGCGGACGGGGGUUCAAAUCCCCCCAGCUCCACCA
rnacentral:tmRNA from 1 species